CCAUGUGGCCCGGAACCCGCAGCCGCGUUCUGCCCGCCGGGGCCUGUCCCCGCACCGUGCCUGCAGCAUUUCAGCUGCGUCCCGGACGUUGCUAGUUGGUCCUUUUCGUGUCAGGGUGUCAUUCGAGUGAUCUAGCCGUCGAUGCCCGCCUCUGCCCUGGAGCCGCCGCCCCUCGAGCAGCAUUGAGUGACGCGGCCCUUACUGCCCGCCCGAGGCCUCUUUAGGGACAGUGGUUCUGACAGUUCUAGGACAGGCCGCCCGCGUUUGUCACGAUCUAAGGGCCGGGCGCGGUGCUCACGCUUGUAAUCCCAGCACUUUGGGAGGCCAAGGCCCAUCAGUUACAAGUCCUGUCCCUUCUGACCUCCAGGCCCCACGGCUAGCAUUACAGCCUGGAGUCAAAGUUCUGGGUGAGCUGUGUAUCUUUGGCCAAAUUCUUUGACCUCGUUGAGCCUCAGUUCCCUCAUCUGUAAGGUAAGAUGACGGCAGAACGUCACGGAGGAGCAGGGCAGGGCCCCGUUAACAGGCUGAGCCGGGCGCAGGUGAGCAGACAGCACUCGGCACAGGGCCUGUCUAGAGCCUGCAGUCACACCUCCUGCCCCUGUGGAUCCUCUCCCUGGAGAACGAGAAUACGGAUCUGGGAAAUGAGACCAAAGUACCCCCCAGGCCAGCAGGUGUGGCCAGAGGAGCUGAUGGGCAGUAGUCUGUGCCGUCCGCAUGCAGCCCUGACCAUGGUGGCCAGGACCACGAAGCUGGUAGAGGCAGCCAGGGCUGCGUGGACAGAGCAGGCCUGGAGCCCUUGCCUGGUGGGCACCUGACUCUAAGCCAGGAGGCCUUUCCUCGUCCUGGAAGGCAGGUGGCCCCUCAAGCCCAGCUUCAACCUUGGGAGAACAUGCCAUGCUGGGUGAAUCCUCAGCGCACAUCCCAGACAGAAGACUGUGAGACCUCCUUUAUUAGGCCAAGAGUGGCCAUGUGCACAGAUUUACAGAGCUGCUCCUCCCUGUGCCAGGACCGCCCAGCAUCUUCAGGAGCCUCUGGGCCAGGGGCGAGUGAGGACAGCACCAGAAUGUGGUAGGGCCAGGAGAGGCAGGACACAUGUGGUUUGGACCCCAGGGAAAGGGAAAGGGCAAGGGCAGGGAGCAGCUUGGCACGGACCUUUUUUUUUUUCGAGACAGAGUCUCGCUCUGUC
rnacentral:lncRNA from 1 species